UUGAACGCUGGCGGCAUGCCUUACACAUGCAAGUCGAACGGCAGGACACGGGAGCAAUCCUGGUGGCGAGUGGCGAACGGGUGAGUAAUAUAUCGGAACGUGCCCAGUCGUGGGGGAUAACGUAGCGAAAGCUACGCUAAUACCGCAUACGAUCUACGGAUGAAANCGGGGGAUCGCAAGACCUCGCGCGAUUGGAGCGGCCGAUAUCAGAUUAGGUAGUUGGUGAGGUAAAGGCUCACCAAGCCGACGAUCUGUAGCUGGUCUGAGAGGACGACCAGCCACACUGGGACUGAGACACGGCCCAGACUCCUACGGGAGGCAGCAGUGGGAAUUUUGGACAAUGGGCGCAAGCCUGAUCCAGCAAUGCCGCGUGCAGGAUGAAGGCCUUCGGGUUGUAAACUGCUUUUGUACGGAACGAAACGGUGAGCUCUAAUACAGUUUGCUAAUGACGGUACCGUAAGAAUAAGCACCGGCUAACUACGUG
rnacentral:rRNA from 1 species